UUUUAAGAUAGCAACUUGGAAGAAAGCCAGGCAUGCCCAGGGUCUCUGCUGAAUAAGGAAUACUUGUUUCCUUUGUCUUCCUGAGGCUGCCUACAUGU
ensembl:snoRNA Gm25697 predicted gene, 25697